AUUUAAGAUGGUGAUUAUAAACCUGAUUGAAGUUUAAUAAGGGGGUUAAGUUAAGUUUUUCAAUUUAUUUAUUUAUUGUAACGCCCAAGGCCAAGAGACAUUCCCCCUGCGCGCAACUCCCCUGUUCUGAGAAAACCCCGCCCCUUUCAUAAUCGAAGCUCAUCAAUUUCCCAUGGCAAUGGAAGUCCACAUCUCGAAGGCAAGCACCCACAUUUUUCUCUACUUUGUUUUCCUUAUACACAGCUCCCUUCCUUAAUCGGCUACCUCUUGGCUGAACUCACGGCGAAGAUUCAGGUUCAGCUAGCAAGAAAUUUAAGGAACAAGCUCUUCUAGUUUCAGCUAGCCUAGGAUUAAGAUUCGUCAUGGGGGAUAGGUUAUGUUGUCGGGAAUAGUUCAUGUUUUGAAGGUUUUGUUCAAGUUUGAUUGGGUGUUGUUUGGUUGGUGGGAAAAUCGAAGUAGCCAUUUAGAUAUCAA